rnacentral:rRNA from 1 species
UACGUAGGCAGCGAGCGUUGUUCGGAGUUACUGGGCGUAAAGGGUGUGUAGGCGGUUGUUUAAGUUUGGUGUGAAAUCUCCCGGCUCAACUGGGAGGGUGCGCCGAAUACUGAAUGACUUCGAGUGCGGGAGAGGAGAGUGGAAUUCCUGGUGUAGCGGUGAAAUGCGUAGAUAUUGGGAGGAACACCAGUGGCGAAGGCGGCUCACUGGACCGGUACUGACGCUGAUGCGCGAAAGCGUGGGGAGCAAACGGGG